GCAGCAGCCGCGGUAAUACGAAGGGUGCAAGCGUUACUCGGAAUUACUGGGCGUAAAGCGUGCGUAGGUGGUGGUUUAAGUCCGUUGUGAAAGCCCUGGGCUCAACCUGGGAAUUGCAGUGGAUACUGGGUCACUAGAGUGUGGUAGAGGAUAGUGGAAUUUCCGGUGUAGCAGUGAAAUGCGUAGAGAUCGGAAGGAACAUCUGUGGCGAAGGCGACUAUCUGGGCCAACACUGACACUGAGGCACGAAAGCGUGGGGAGCAAACAGGAUUAGAUACCCCUGUAGUCCCUGUCUCUUAUAC
rnacentral:rRNA from 1 species